rnacentral:piRNA from 1 species
UGAACAAGCUGCCCCUUCUUCCAUGGUUGC